UCUGCCAAUUUGCAGUUCCCUCAAUAUUCUUCCUAGAAAUGGUUGUAGGGUCCUGAAGCUGCUUCUGUUCUCAAGGAUGGACAAGUUAUUGGAGUCCAUGCUCUGGAUGAAUUGGAUACCAAGUUAACUGCUGCUUCAAGGACAUCCCGGCUGGCAAUCCUUUAUUUCACAUGGUGUGGGCCCUGCCGUUAUAUGUCCCCGCUUUAUACAAGCUUGGCUGGAAAGUAUCCAAAAGUCGUGUUCUUGAAGGUU